rnacentral:lncRNA from 1 species
UUAAAAUGUUCAAUCUAGAUCUCUUAAAUUCAGAGGUUCCUUCAUGAGUUUCUACCAAUGUAUCCUAUAUUUUCUUUGUCGUUCUACAUUGAGAGACACAAAAGAAUUCAUCCAGGCUAAGUGCACUUUGAAGUAUGUUGAUUGCUUUCUUAUUAUAAAUGACUUUUUAUUAUCAUUUUCAUCCCAUGAACUCUUAAUCUUUGGUGUCCCAACCCCGUUGACAACACUUGUAGGAACAAAU